GCUCGGUUCACUCAGUGGCAGCGUGCAUCCUUCCCACGGAUGAAGUCACGGGGCCAAAUCCAGUGCCGAGCACCA
rnacentral:tRNA from 1 species